UACGUAGGCAGCGAGCGUUGUUCGGAGUUACUGGGCGUAAAGGGUGCGUAGGCGGCUUUUUAAGUUUGGUGUGAAAUCUCCCGGCUCAACUGGGAGGGUGCGCCGAAUACUGAGAGGCUAGAGUGUGGGAGAGGAAAGUGGAAUUCCUGGUGUAGCGGUGAAAUGCGUAGAUAUCAGGAGGAACACCUGUGGCGAAAGCGGCUCACUGGACCACAACUGACGCUGAUGCACGAAAGCUAGGGGAGCAAACAGG
rnacentral:rRNA from 1 species